UACGUAGGGAGCAAGCGUUGUCCGGAAUCAUUGGGCGUAAAGCGCGCGUAGGCGGCCCCGUAAGUCCGCUGUGAAAGUCAAAGGCUCAACCUUUGAAAGCCGGUGGAAACUGUGGGGCUAGAGUCCGGAAGAGGCGAGUGGAAUUCCUGGUGUAGCGGUGGAAUGCGCAGAUAUCAGGAGGAACACCAAUAGCGAAGGCGGCUCGCUGGGACGGUACUGACGCUAAGGCGCGAAAGCGUGGGGAGCGAACAGG
rnacentral:rRNA from 1 species